UCAGCAGUGAUGAGAAGCGCAGGGGUACAGACCUCGGCUGUAUCAUGGGAGCCGACUAUAAAUGCUUCUCCAUUUUAGCCUACAUGUGGUGGGUUGAUGGAGACGUUUAUAGGAGAUGACUGACUUUUCUGAGCUGA